GGUUCCAUAGUGUAGCGGUCAGCACGUCUGCUUUACACGCAGAAGGUCCUGGGUUCGCACCCCAUUGGAGCCA
rfam:Pteropus alecto contig26906, whole genome shotgun sequence.